AGCAGCCGCGGUAAUACGAAGGGACCUAGCGUAGUUCGGAAUUACUGGGCUUAAAGAGUUCGUAGGUGGUUGAAAAAGUUAGUGGUGAAAUCCCAGAGCUUAACUCUGGAACUGCCAUUAAAACUUUUCAGCUAGAGUAUGAUAGAGGAAAGCAGAAUUUCUAGUGUAGAGGUGAAAUUCGUAGAUAUUAGAAAGAAUACCAAUUGCGAAGGCAGCUUUCUGGAUCAUUACUGACACUGAGGAACGAAAGCAUGGGUAGCGAAGAGGAAUAGAUACCCUCGUAGUCCAUGCCGUAAACGAUGUGUGUUAGACGUUGGAAAUUUAUUUUCAGUGUCGCAGCGAAAGCGAUAAACACACCGCCUGGGGAGUACGACCGCAAGGUUAAAACUCAAAUGAAUUGACGGGGACCCGCACAAGUAGUGGAGCAUGUGGUUUAAUUCGAAGAUACGCGCAGAACCUUACCAACACUUGACAUGUUCGUCGCGACUCUAAGAGAUUAGAGUUUUCGGUUCGGCCGGACGAAACACAGGUGCUGCAUGGCUGUCGUCAGCUCGUGUCGUGAGAUGUUGGGUUAAGUCCCGCAACGAGCGCAACCCUCACUUUUAGUUGCCAUCAUUUAGUUGGGCACUCUGAAAGAACUGCCAGUGAUAAGCUGGAGGAAGGUGGGGAUGACGUCAAGUCCUCAUGGCCCUUACGUGUUGGGCUACACACGUGCUACAAUGGUAUCUACAACAGGAAGCAAAACGGCGACGUUAAGCAAAUCCUUAAAAGAUACCUCAGUUCGGAUUGCACUCUGCAACUCGAGUGCAUGAAGCUGGAAUUACUAGUAAUCGUGGAUCAGCGUGCCACGGUGAAUGCGUUCCCGGGUCUUGUACACACCGCCCGUCACACCAUGGGAGUUGGUUCUACCUUAAGGCAAGGUUUCAAACCCUUGACCACGGUAUAGUCAGCGACUGGGGUGAAGUCGUAACAAGGUAGCCG
rnacentral:rRNA from 1 species